rnacentral:rRNA from 1 species
CAGUAGCCACGGUAAUACAGAGGGUGCGAGCGUUAAUCGGAUUUACUGGGCGUAAAGCGUGCGUAGGCGGCUUCUUAAGUCGGAUGUGAAAUCCCUGAGCUUAACUUAGGAAUUGCAUUCGAUACUGGGAAGCUAGAGUAUGGGAGAGGAUGGUAGAAUUCCAGGUGUAGCGGUGAAAUGCGUAGAGAUCUGGAGGAAUACCGAUGGCGAAGGCAGCCAUCUGGCCUAAUACUGACGCUGAGGUACGAAAGCAUGGGGAGCAAACAGGAUUAGAUACCCCCGUAGUCCCUGUCUCUUAUAA